AUUGAACGCUGGCGGCAGGCUUAACACAUGCAAGUCGAGCGAGCGGCGGACGGGUGAGUAAUGUCUGGGAAACUGCCUGAUGGAGGGGGAUAACUACUGGAAACGGUAGCUAAUACCGCAUACCAUCAGAUGUGCCCAGAUGGGAUUAGCUAGUGGGGGGGGUAAUGGCUCACCUAGGCGACGAUCCCUAGCUGGUCUGAGAGGAGUACCAGCCACACUGGAACUGAGACACGGUCCAGACUCCUACGGUAGGCAGCAGUGGGGAAUAUUGCACAAUGGGCGCAAGCCUGAUCCAGCCAUGCCGCGUGUGUGAAGAAGGCCUUCGGGUUGUAAAGCACUUUCAGCGAGGAGGCGUUACUCGCAGAAGAAGCACCGGCUAACUCCGUGCCAGCAGCCGCGGUAAUAC
rnacentral:rRNA from 1 species